rnacentral:rRNA from 1 species
CGCCCUUCGGGGUGCAGCAGGCGCGAAAACUUUGCAAUACACGAAAGUGUGACAGGGCUAUCCCGAGUGCCAUCCGCUGAGGAAGGCUUUUACCCAGUCUAGAACGCUGGGGGAAUAAGGAGAGGGCAAGUCUGGUGUCAGCCGCCGCGGUAAUACCAGCUCUCCGAGUGGUGUGGAUGUUUAUUGGGCCUAAAGCAUCCGUAGCUGGCUAAGUUAGUCCCUUGUUAAAUCCACCGAAUUAAUCGUUGGAUUGCGGGGGAUACUGCUUGGCUAGGGGACGAGAGAGGCAGACGGUAUUUCCGGGGUAGGGGUGAAAUCCUAUAAUCCCGGGAAGACCACCAGUGGCGAAGGCUGUCUGCUAGAACGCGCCCGACGGUGAGGGAUGAAAGCUGGGGGAGCGAACCGGAUUAGAUACCCGGGUAGUCCCAGCUGUAAACGAUGCAGGCUAGGUGUUUGGACGGCCACGUGCCGUUCUAGUGCCGCAGGGAAGCUGUUAAGCCUGCCGCCUGGGGAGUACGAUCGCAAGAUUGAAACUUAAAGGAAUUGGCGGGGGAGCAC